rnacentral:rRNA from 1 species
AUUGAACGCUGGCGGCAGGCCUAACACAUGCAAGUCGAACGGUAGCACAGAGAGCUUGCUCUCGGGUGACGAGUGGCGGACGGGUGAGUAAUGUCUGGGAAACUGCCCGAUGGAGGGGGAUAACUACUGGAAACGGUAGCUAAUACCGCAUAACGUCGCAAGACCAAAGUGGGGGACCUUCGGGCCUCACACCAUCGGAUGUGCCCAGAUGGGGUUAGCUAGUAGGUGGGGUAAUGGCUCACCUAGGCGACGAUCCCCAGCUGGUCUGAGAGGAUGACCAGCCACACUGGAACUGAGACACGGUCCAGACUCCUACGGGAGGCAGCAGUGGGGAAUAUUGCACAAUGGGCGCAAGCCUGAUGCAGCCAUGCCGCGUGUAUGAAGAAGGCCUUCGGGUUGUAAAGUACUUUCAGCGGGGAGGAAGGCGGUGAAGUUAAUAGCUUCACCGAUUGACGUUACCCGCAGAAGAAGCACCGGCUAACUCCGUGCCAGCAGCCGCCGUAA